UGGGGAAUAUUGCACAAUGGGCGAAAGCCUGAUGCAGCGACGCCGCGUGAGGGAUGACGGCCUUCGGGUUGUAAACCUCUUUCAGCAGGGAAGAAGCGAAAGUGACGGUACCUGCAGAAGAAGCGCCGGCUAACUACGUGCCAGCAGCCGCGGUAAUACGUAGGGCGCAAGCGUUGUCCGGAAUUAUUGGGCGUAAAGAGCUCGUAGGCGGUUAGUCGCGUCUGCUGUGAAAACUCGAGGCUCAACCUCGGGCUUGCAGUGGGUACGGGCUGACUAGAGUGCGGUAGGGGAUGACUGCAUCGUGGUGUAGCGGUGGAAUGCGCAGAUAUCAGGAGGAACACCGAUGGCGAAGGCAGGUCACUGGGCCGCAACUGACGCUGAGGAGCGAAAGCAUGGGGAGCGAACAGGAUUAGAUACCCUGGUAGUCCAUGCCGUAAACGUUGGGCACUAGGUGUGGGGUCCAUUCCACGGAUUCCGUGCCGCAGCAAACGCAUUAAGUGCCCCGCCUGGGGAGUACGGCCGCAAGGCUAAAACUUAAAUGAAUUGAC
rnacentral:rRNA from 1 species